rnacentral:rRNA from 1 species
CAGCCGCCACGGGAAUACGUAGGUGGCAAGCGUUGUCCGGAAUUAUUGGGCGUAAAGGGCUCGCAGGCGGUUUCUUAAGUCUGAUGUGAAAGCCCCCGGCUCAACCGGGGAGGGUCAUUGGAAACUGGGAAACUUGAGUGCAGAAGAGGAGAGUGGAAUUCCACGUGUAGCGGUGAAAUGCGUAGAGAUGUGGAGGAACACCAGUGGCGAAGGCGACUCUCUGGUCUGUAACUGACGCAGAGGAGCGAAAGCGUGGGGAGCGAACAGGAUUAGAUACCUGCGUAGUCCCUGUCUCUUAUAC